rnacentral:rRNA from 1 species
CCUACGGGAGGCAGCAGUGGGGAAUAUUGGGCAAUGGGCGCAAGCCUGACCCAGCAACGCCGCGUGAAGGAAGAAGGCUCUCGGGUUGUAAACUUCUUUUAUCAGGGACGAAGCAAGUGACGGUACCUGAUGAAUAAGCCACGGCUAACUACGUGCCAGCAGCCGCGGUCAUACGUAGGGGGGAAGCGUUAUCCGGAUUUCCUGGGUGUAAAGGGCGUGUAGGCGGGAAAGCAAGUCAGAUGUGAAAACCAUGGGCUCAACCUGUGGCCUGCAUUUGAAACUGUGUUUCUUGAGUACUGGAGAGGCAGACGGAAUGCGUAGUGUAGCGGUGAAAUGCGUAGAUAUUAGGAGGAACAACAAUGGCGAAGGCGGUCUGCUGGACAGCAACUGACGCUGAGGCGCGAAAGCGUGGGGAGCGAACAGGAUUAGAUACCCCUGUAGUC